rnacentral:rRNA from 1 species
CCUACGGGAGGCAGCAGUGGGGAAUAUUGGACAAUGGGCGAAAGCCUGAUCCAGCCAUGCCGCGUGUGUGAAGAAGGCCUUCGGGUUGUAAAGCACUUUCAGUGGGGAAGAAAGCCUUGGGGCUAAUACCCUCGAGGAAGGACAUCACCCACAGAAGAAGCACCGGCUAACUCCGUGCCAGCAGCCGCGGUAAUACGGAGGGUGCGAGCGUUAAUCGGAAUUACUGGGCGUAAAGCGCGCGUAGGCGGUCUGAUAAGCCGGUUGUGAAAGCCCCGGGCUCAACCUGGGAACGGCAUCCGGAACUGUCAGGCUAGAGUGCAGGAGAGGAAGGUAGAAUUCCCGGUGUAGCGGUGAAAUGCGUAGAGAUCGGGAGGAAUACCAGUGGCGAAGGCGGCCUUCUGGACUGACACUGACGCUGAGGUGCGAAAGCGUGGGUAGCAAACAGGAUUAGAUACCCCUUAGUC